rnacentral:rRNA from 1 species
CCCUUAGAUGUUCUGGGCCGCACGCGUGCUACACUGAGUAAUUCAAUGGGUAAGGGAACGCUAGAGCAUUACCUAAUCUUGAAAUUUGCUCGUGAUGGGGAUCGACGGUUGCAAUUUUCCGUCGUGAACGAGGAAUACCUUGUAGGCGCAUGUCAUCAUCAUGCGCCGAAUACGUCCCUGCCCUUUGUACACACCGCCCGUCGCUCCUACCGAUUGAGUGAUCCGGUGAGGCUCUGGGACCUGGACGGAAAGAGCGUUUCGUUUGUUCUGUUUGGGAAACUUGGUCGAACCUUAUCAUUUAGAGGAAGGAGAAGUCGUAACA